rnacentral:rRNA from 1 species
UGCAUUGGAUUGAGAACAAUGUACAACUCUUAUCGAUAAGCCAUUGGAGGGCAAGUCUGGUGCCAGCAGCCGCGGUAAUUCCAGCUCCAAUAGCGUAUAUUAACGUUGUUGCAGUUAAAAAGCUCGUAGUUGAAGUGUGGGUGAUCGCUGUUGUGAGACUUCGGUCUCUCGACAGUAAGUCACCCCCUUCCAGUAUCCAGUAGUGGGUAUUCAGUUACUUACUAUUGUGUGUUGGUCGUUUACUGUGAGAAAAUUAGAGUGUUCAAAGCAGGCGUUUGCUUGAAUAGAUUAGCAUGGAAUAAUAAUUGAAGGCUUUCGUGUUCGAUUUGAUUGGUUUGUUCAUGGAAGCAAGGUUAAAAGGAACAGUUGGGGGUAUUCAUAUUCACUAGUUAGAGGUGAAAUUCUCGGAUUUAUGGAAGAUGAACAAGUGCGAAAG